rnacentral:rRNA from 1 species
GAUUAGAUACCGUCGUAGUCUUAACUAUAAACUAUGCCGACCAGGGAUAUGAGUUGUUAUGAAUAACUUUUAGUUAUUCAAUUUCCUCUUGUGGACCUUGUGAGAAAUCAUAAGUUUUUGGGUUCUGGGGGGAGUAUGGUCGCAAGGCUGAAACUUAAAGGAAUUGACGGAGGGGCACCACCAGGAGUGGAGCGUGCGGCUUAAUUUGACUCAACACGGGAAAACUUACCAGGUCCAGACAUUAGAAGGAUUGACAGAUUGAUAGCUCUUUCAUGAUUUAAUGGGUGGUGGUGCAUGGCCGUUCUUAGUUGGUGGAGUGAUUUGUCUGGUUAAUUCCGAUAACGAACGAGACCUUUACCAUACUAAAUAGUUUGAUUUAUUCAUUUAUGAAUAAAUUUAUUUAUAUUAAACUUCUUAGAGGGACUAUUGGUUCUUAAACCAAAGGAAGUAAAGGCGAUAACAGGUCUGUGAUGCCCUUAGAUGUUCUGGGCUGCACGCGCGCUACAAUGAUAAACUCAACGAGUAUUUAAUAUUUAUUUAUUAUAUUGCUGUAUUGGAAAGUAUGGCUAAUCUUAAACGUUUAUCGUGCUUGGGAUAGAUGAUUGCAAUUAUUUAUCUUGAACCAGGAAUUCCUAGUAAUCGUAUAUCAUCAGUGUGUGAUGAUUACGUCCCUGCCCCUUGUACACACCGCCCGUCGCUGCUACCGAUUGGAUGAUCCGGUGAAAUCCUCGGAUAAUGAUAAAUACUUUACUUUGUAAAGUUUAUCGUUAGAAGUUGAUUAAACCUUAUCAUCUAGAGGAAGCAAAAGUCGUAACAAGGUUUCCGUAGGUGAACCUGCAGAAGGAUCA